AAGUCGUAACAAGGUAUCCGUAGGUGAACCUGCGGAUGGAUCAUUACCAAUUAUAUAUAUGUUAGUUUGCGUAUCUCUGUCAAAGGGGGUCGCAUAACUAUACUAUGUAAACGUUGAACUAGAUCAAUUGGUGUGGAUUGCUUGGGAAUGGACGAAGCGAUGAGCCUCUUCCGGACAGGCAAGCCCCACACUGAUAACCUUUUUCAUAUCAUUUACUCGUAUAUACUACCACAACAACAAAAAACAAAAGCUAUAAUAGGACUUAUUAACGGCUGAGUGGGUAACAUCCUCGGCUUAAACAUAUAACUAUUACAACUUUCAGCAAUGGAUCUCUAGGCUCUC
rnacentral:misc_RNA from 1 species